UUAUGUUCUCCUUCGCUUGCUCAUCCGAACAUAAAACUUUUCUGAUUACUUCAAAGACAACUAAAGACUUAUGUGAAUUGAGAGAUGCACCAAAGCAGUUUUAAUAAACUUUUUUACAACAAAAAUAUUUCAUUCAUAAUCAAUAUAUUAGUCCAAAUUGUAUUAAAUUAUUUCAAAGUCCAAAUUAUCGACACAAUUCUGGAAUCACACAAUCUACAAAUAUAAAUAAUAUGAAUUAGAACAAGA
rnacentral:lncRNA from 1 species